GGGGUUAGUGGAACAUUCUAGCUGACGUAGGAAGGGUGAGAUAGCAGUGCUGAAGACAGGCAAGGGCAGGAGAUUUCCAUUGGGCAAUCAAAAGCCGAAAAAACAAUACUAGAAGCCACGCAGACAGAUGAGUUUAUAGAAAGAGGAAGUGAGUAUGGGAGAGCAAAGAGCAAAGAAGCAUGGGAAGUGAGGAAAGGGGGGAACGACAGCGAAGGAACAACUGGCCGUGGACCUUGAGGAAGCGCCACUUCCAGGCUUUGGCGUUUUAGUCUGGGCGUUGGUAGAACAGGGGCUGCAGGAAGCGCGCUCUAUUAAGGCUCUCGGCUGGGACGCGCAUGCAUAAUCAGAGAAGAUGGAAGAGAACAGAACACCAUGGAAACUGAAGAAGAGAGUUUCUAAAAGAAGGCUUUAAGAGGUCACUUGCAUCCAAUGCCACAGAGGUGUCAGAGACUGCGGACUCAGAUGAAACCACUGAUUUAGCAAUUUAAAGAGCCCCUCCAAGUGCAGGAUUGUCUUUAGCCUUGGACACCAUACAUGAACAAGGACAAUAGCAGUCUGGAGCAUGUGCAAAAGAGAGGGAUCAGGAGCGUGGGAAGACUUAAGAGUCAUUGUGUAUGAACUACUGGAGCUGCUUAACCUGGAGAAGAGACCAACAGGUUGAUGGUGGUGGUGCAGGAUCCAGUUUGCAACCACAGGAACCGUGCAGCCCUAGUGUGUGGGCUGACAGCCACCUGCAUGGGACCAUGAGAUUCUGGACAGAACUGAGUGAGAGCGUCGCCAUGGUGUCUGAGGCAAUGCAGGACAAUGGAGCAGGGGCAGAACCAGGAAAUCCGGAGCCUACCAGACCAUGGAGACACCAGGGGUGAUGCCCUACGCGUUCCAUACCCAGUAUCCCAGGUGCCACAGACUCUGCUUUUUUCAUGGAAUAUCAUUUUUCCAGUCUGAACCCAAAAAAGGCGUCUUGCUAUCCCAUAUAGCAUUAAUGGUAAGUCAAGCGGAGGUUGCCAUUUUGUGCAUGCAAUCGCACCCGGAAGUGAAAUGCAGCACCAGGUUCUCUGGGAUUGGAACUGACAAAGCAAUAUAGUUGAGAGCAAAUUAAAACGAGGUCCUGUCCCCCAGCUGGCAAAGGAGCACGCCAUGCCUAACUUCUGCUUUAGCACGCAGGCCUACAGACCUGUCAAAGAACCUAGAGCCCCACUGGAACUCUGAGGAUACAAAGCCUCCAGGCAAGGAGUUGACUUCUUCAUGCCACUGCAGGGACAUGGGGUCUGGGAGAGCAUGUGAAGGGAGCAAGGCCCCGUAUGCUUAGUCAGCCUCUCUGCGGCACUGCGCUUGGUAACCCCAAGACCUUGGUCAUAGAUGGGCGCUGGUGGUCACCAAGGAAGGUACAGGGGUGAGGGGCAGCCUAAGUCACCAAAAUAAGUAUGUGCCAGGCACAGUAUGUAGGGGGAAGAGUAAAUGGGUGUGUAUGAGCAGGUGUUUAGGUAAUGAGUGUGUGCAUGGCAGCGUGCAUGUGUAUGGCGGUACGUGCAUAGAGAGAGCAGAGGAGCGUGUGUGUGUCUGUGGGGUAUGGAAGUGUUGGGGGAUGCAAGAGUGUGGCUGGGGUGGGUAGAGGUGUGUGUGCGUGCAUGGAUCUAGCUGCAGCUCUAGGUACAUGAAUGUGUGUAUAUUUGUGGAGCGAGAUGAGGGGAUAAGUACACAUGUACGUACUGGGUGUACACAUGCAAGGUAUGUGCGGGCAGAGCUGUAUAUGCGUGCGCACGUGUGUGUGUGUAGGGGUCUAUGGGUAAGCAUAUAUAUGGGGGAAUAUAUAAGUGUAGCACGUGGGAUGUGUGUAGACAUGGAAGCAGGGAUAUGGAGAUGCGUGUGUGUGUGUGUGUGUGUGAUGUCAGGGGUGC